CGAGACGUACCUUGCAAUAGAUGUUUAUUUAACUGGAAACCCGCAAGAGCAGCUGCCCAGUGCAACAGUACAUAUUUGCUUCUGAAUCCUUUCUCAAAGGCACUAUUUAAACAUGUUGAUGAACUGAGCUGAAUUUCUCCCCACCUCCAUUCCAGCAAAACAAGGAGACUCAGAAGAUAAAGUUUGUUUUGCUAUUGCAAGCAGUGCUAUGUGUGAACAUUUCUGUUUGACAUGACACGGCAAUUCUGCAUCAAUGGUGCUUGAAAUAGUUCAAUGCAGAAUGCAGAAAUGGUGCUCAGAGUCAGAACAGGACUUCGAAGUCUGCUGCUGUCACAUUUUAUUUUUCUCGUUAAUGCUGACUGGGAUUUGCUUUUUAUGUUGGAGAUCUCAGGGCCCAGAUCCUCAAGAAAUUGAUGGGAGUUGUGAUGAUCCUUACCUGAGCUGCUUAUCUUACAGACAGAAGCCAUCUGCCAAUAAGCAGUCUUUGCAGAGAAAUCAUGAUCAAGGGAUGCAUUGAACGGUCUGAAAGGAGUUCAGAACCACAGGAUCCAUAUCUGAAGGUCUGGAGGGGUUGUUCAAAGAGACAUGGAGUAUCACCUGUCUGCCAGUGCCACCUUUCUCCAUUCUGUCCUCAGAAUUGCCACCAGCUGGACACACAGAUCUCUAUCACUCAUGUCAGUAUGUAACCCAAGUGAACAGAUUUGUAAAGCAGCAAAUUUUGAUAUGAGAGGGAUGUCAGAUCUGCCUUCACCUGACAUUUGCUUUAAGAGUUCUCCAAUCAGCCCUCAGAAGAAUUACAUGAAGCCAGGAAAGUCCCUUUGGAGUCCUGCAAAUCUGAAGUCAGGCAGGAGGAUCUAUCUUUUCCUCGGGCAAAAAAAUCCUUUUUCAGGUAAUGGCACUUUUCAGGCCAACAGCCCCUGGGAAAGGAAAACAACACAGGGAAAGCUGAAGUGAAUAAACUUGAUAACCCUUUACAGGUGAAGCGCCCUCAACUUUUCACAGUCAAGACAUAAAGAAAGUGCUGCAAAGGAGCCGUUUUUUUGUGACAAACCUGGGUUACUUUCUCAUGGGCAGUCAGAGAACAAACUGCUUUGCAAGUACUGUGUUUUGUGCCAGGCACCUUGGGACCAUUCAGGGUAGUUUUGGAACUCUUCCAAGAUUGUGGGAUGAAAGGAUGAGAAAAAAAUUGAUCAUUUAAUUUUUCUUAAAUGCUGUUUGACUUUACAUAGCCCAGCAUUUGUUCCUUUCAAGAGUUUGUUGAAGAGCAUCAUAAUAGUGAUACUGCUCAGCUUUUAUGUAUUAAUAUAUAUGCAAGAGCUUUAUGAAGAUGGGUCCUAUGACUGUUGUAAUUUCAUAGAUCUAAAGUUUAAGGAACAGAGGCAGAUAGUGACAGACCAUCUAAAUGACCUCAGGUAAAUGGGGAAAUUGGAAGUAUACAUGUUGAUUGCAUUUUUUCCCAACCUUUUCCCCCCAAAUCUGUGUAGUAGUUGCUUCUACUUUGGGGUAAGAAAUGUAACUUCUAAAGGGCUUUUUGAGCCAUGAGUGCUAUGUUACAAUGCCAAUUCCUUUCUUGAAGAUUAAUGUGAGAGCUAAUUAAUUUUAAAUAUAGUAGGAGAUGAAGAUUCCAGCACAUGAAGCCUGAAUACAAAAAAACCCUAGUACCAUCUCCUUCCCGAGUAGGUUUUGCUUUGGUGUCUCUGUUCUGGAUUGAAAUGAAUAUUUAUCUAAAUAUCUUAAACAAGCUUUGCACAGGAACGAAAA